rnacentral:rRNA from 1 species
AGCAGCCGCGGUAAUUUCAGCUCCAAUAGCGUAUAUUAAAGUUGUUGCAGUUAAAAAGCUCGUAGUUGAAUUUCGGGGUUAGUAGGUUGGUCAUGCCUCUGGUAUGUACUGGCCUCACUGAUUCCUCCUUCCUGAUGAACCUUAAUGCCAUUAAUUUGGUGUUUUGGGGAAUUUGGACUGUUACUUUGAAAAAAUUAGAGUGUUUAAAGCAAGCUAACGCUUGAAUACAUUAGCAUGGAAUAAUGAAAUAGGACGUUCGAUCCUAUUUUGUUGGUUUCUAGGAUUGACGUAAUGAUUAAUAGGGAUAGUUGGGGGCAUUAGUAUUCAAUUGUCAGAGGUGAAAUUCUUGGAUUUAUUGAAGACUAACUACUGCGAAAGCAUUUGCCAAGGAUGUUUUCAUUAAUCAAGAACGAAAGUUAGGGGAUCGAAGACGAUCAGAUACCGUCGUAGUCUUAACCAUAAACUAUGCCGACUAGGGAUCGGAUGAUGUUAAUUUUUUAAUGACUCA